rnacentral:lncRNA from 1 species
AACAUUUUUCUAUUUGUUACAUGAAAAGUAAAAGAAACAUGAGUGCAAUUCUCAAAAUUAUUUAUGUUAUAAUCGUGUAUCUUUUCCUACUUCAUGGUGUAACUGAAAGCAAACGUAAGAUAUUUUCCUCACUCUUCUCAAAAUUUGGGUUUCAUUUACUUUUUAAAAAUAUUUUAUUUCUUUAUUUUAUCUUGAUAAAAAAUUAUUGAAUUGAAUAAUUAUUAUAGAGAAGAUAAAAUGUUAGUUAGUAAAAAUAUUUUCUAAAAAUAAUAAAAAUAUAUAUUUUUUAAUAUUUUCAUUAUUUCUAAAAAUAUAGUCAAUUAUUCGCUUCAAAUGGCUUUCAACUCCUUAUUCAAAGUAUGACUAAUACACCUUUUUAAAAUUUAAAAUAAAAAAUCUUUCCACAAAAUAAGCUUCCUCUUAUUCUUUAUUCCUUAAAAAUAUCAAAGAUAGCACUUAUUAUUUUUAGUAAAUUUUAAUAAAAUAGUGCAUCUCUCUUUCUUAUUUUUUAUUAUUAUAAAAUUCAUUUUUUAUGAAAAAUGGUAAAGGUCUACUAUUAAAACUCUUUUGAGAUAUCUAUACUGUACAAACCCUAUUUUUCACACAAGAUUUCUCACUUUCAUUAAUAUUACUUUGCGGUUAACAUUAUAUAGGAGAUCGUGAAUGUAAUAUUGAUGAUGAUUGUCCAAAAUGCGAACGACCUUAUUUUAAGAGGUGCACUUCUUAUGAAUGUUCAUGCCGUUAAAAGGUAACUUGCAAGAUAAUUUUGUUACUUUUAAAUUAUAACUAGUGAGUAACUCGUGCGUCGCACGGAUACAAAUUACUAUAUUGAUAAAUAUAUUGUUAUAAUAAAGUUAUAUAAUAUAAAAAUUUGAAUUAACAUUGACAUUCAAGACAUAAUUUUAUUGACAUUGACAUUAAAGACAUAAUAUGAAUUUUAUCAUCAAUUCAAUUCCAUACAAAAAAUAACUUACAAUAAACAAAUAUAACCGUAAAAAGAAUGUCGUAUACAUGUUUACAAAUUAUUGAAAAUUUCUUUGUACACAACAUUUUUGGUGUCGGUACAUAGUUUUCCUUCUUCAUCUAAAAUAACAAUCUUCAAUCCUUCCCUAGACUUUACUCGUGAAAUAGCCACAUAGAAUUGACCAUGAGUAAAUACAGGUCGCUUUAAAUACAAACCAACUUGAGAAAGAGAUUGACCCUGACUCUUAUUUAUGGUCAUUGCAAAACACAACGACAAUGGAAAUUGUCUUCUCUGGAAUUUAAAUGGGAAAGCUGGAUCAGAUGGAACCAAAUUCAUCCUUGGUAUAUAAAUCUUAUCACCGAUGUUUUUUCCCGUGAUCACAGUUGCUCCAAUAAUAUUUGUACACAAUUCAUUUAUGAGCAACCUUGUUCCAUUACAUAGUCCAUUAGCUUGAUCAAUGUUCCUCAAAAGCAUGACUGGAACACCAAUCUUUAAUCUUAAUCGGUGAUUUGGAAUUCCAGAACAUUUCAUGUCAUUCAAAAAUACUGGUGUGAACCAAUCUCCCUGCACAGCACAAUUUUCAUCAGAAAGGACAGUUGAGUCUGAACUAAUGUAUUCCUUUUCCUCUUCUGGAAUUAAUGAUAAAAUAUAAUCAUUAACGAUAUCUACAGUAUCAUGAGUCGGAGCAAGUAUUGCCCUCUCUUCAUAGUAUUUCAAAUUGUUUAUGUUCUGUAAAAGCAGUGGAUAUGUCAAUUCAAACAGAGAUAAUAGAGGAUUUUGGGAAUUUGUUACCAAUAAGUCUUCAGGAAUAUUAAUAAUACUCUCCCCUAACUCAUUUGAGUCAUGUUUACCGUUUCCAAUAUCAAGCAUCCAAUCUGCAAAAUCUUUAAUGUCAUUAGUAUAUGCAUUGGGUUCUGCAGAUGUUAAACGCAUGUUUCUUGAUAAUGUCAAAACCUUGCAGUAUUUCCAUAAUUCAGAUGAGUUUAUUGAAGCUGCCACUAUAUCAUGCCUACAACCUUUUCUAACAACAGGUAAUAUUUGUCUAAAAUCACCUCCAAAAACAACUACCUUCCCACCAAAUGGUUUAUGUAGGUUAGCCUCAUCUACAGUCCUCAUGAUAUCUCUAAAAGUACGAUCUACAGCUUCAGCACAUAAUUUAUUUAGCAUUGGAGCUUCAUCCCAUAUAAUAAGCUUAGAAUGUAUGAUAAGAUUAGCUCUAUCAGUGCGUUGUUUGAUGUCACAUGUAGAUGUUUCGGUUGUAACCAAAGGAAUCUUUAAUGCGGAAUGAGCUGUUUUUCCUCCAGGUAAUAAUAAAGCUGCAAUCCCACUGGAGGCAAUAUUUAAAACAAUUGAACCUUGGGAUCUCAAUGCAGCUGAUAAAGUUCUCCAGAUAAAUGUUUUUCCUGUGCCUCCAUAUCCAUAUAAGAAGUAAAACCCUCCCGAAUUAGUCAUCACAGAAGCAAUAAUUUGAUCAUACACUGACCUUUGUUCUGCGGUUAAGGAUGACAAUAAUGAGAUGUGGGUUGCAGCUAACUCAUCUUUGUCAUAGUUUAAUUCAUCAGCCAAGAACCUAUUUUCAAAUUGAUUCAUAUUUGAAUGGGUAGGGCAUGGCAUGGUCUUAAAACUUUUAAGAGAUUUACCACUCAUGAAAAGUAGUUUGUCCAACUCAACCAAACAAAUAUUUUUUAACUCAUCGUCACUUAUUUGAAGGCCUGAAUCAAAGAGAAUGAUUUUAAUCAUAUAGUUAGUGUUGUAAAAUAUUAAUAAUAAUAACACAAAAUUAAUAUAUAUAGUAUUUAAUAUUUAAUUGCAUACCUGGGUUGUUUAACAUUUUCCUUUUUUCGUAUAAAAUUCCAUCACAUAAAAGUUUCCAUGUAGCUUCCCAAACAACAAAAGGAUUUGUCAUUGAAUUCAUGAACAAUAAUAUAACAAAUAAUCUCCUCAAUUGAUGUCCAGAGGCCAACUGACUUGCUUCAGUAAUAGCAUACACAAAUUCAUUGUCAUCUUGCAGCAACCCAAGUGCAAAACACGCUUCCUUAAAGGUUUUAUGUGUUGUGCCAUCCACUCUCUUAAUAUCAUUGUAACUUGUGCACCCUUUUUGUAUUGUCAAUAGGAGUCUCAAAAAAUAAACAUCCCCACCUCCUGGGGGAAUAUAAGUAAGUCUUCCAAUUGAAUUACCUUGCUUUCUGGGCUGCCAUGUUUUGCUAUUUUUUAUAUAAACAAACCUUGUAGGAAAUUCAGCAUAAGUCAAUUCUCUUCCUUCAGGAUACUUUUUGUUUGCCUCAAACCAAGCCAAAAACAUUGUGUCAAGUUCUUCAUUACGCGCCACAACAGAUUGAAUUGAAUAAUUUUCUGAAUACAUUACAGAUUGCUCAUUUUCAAGGUGAAAUGAAAGCCUUAUAACAGGAGGCCACCUUUGAUGGAUGUCAUACUCAAAAGUUCUCCAAACAGCCUCACACGGGGCCAAAUACCUGCACUCAUAGUAUUGUUUUAUCUCAUCAAGUACCUGGCCAUUUUCUGUUCGGUUUGAAAUCUCUAUUGUGGCUCUAUCUGGUCCUUUAUUAACAUACUUAAACAAAUACUUUAUUGAGUUUCCCUUGUUGCAAUACUCAACAUUGACAUGUGCUUGAUAUUUCAUCAACAAAUGUGGAUUGUAUGGAACUACAAACCUAUUGUCCAAACUGAUUCCUUUUUUCAAAACGGACAAACCAGUAUCUCGUCGCUUGUACUUUGGAUAACCUUCAUCGUCAACUAUAGUUGAAGAUUGGUAAUCCUUUGGAAAAUACUUUGAGCACUUGCCAUCUUUCAUGCACGGAGAUUUUGGAUUGGAAGAUCCACAUGGACCAUGUAGCAUGAAACUUGAAACAACAUUUGCAAGUUUUGGAUAUAAAUUACAAUCAGGUAGUUCUGCUGAAAUGAACUUGUCGAUGUCAUUACAAACAACACUUACCUUCAAAAAACUGUCGUAGUCGUGGUGUAUUGUAUUUUAUUUUUAAUUUUUUAAUUGGCCAUAAAUUUUUUAAUUAAAUUAAUUUGAAGGGGUAGUUGAUAAAGUAGUGUUUAAACAACACUUACCUUCAAAAAACUGUCGUAGUCGUGGUGUAUUGUAUUUUAUUUUUAAUUUUUUAAUUGGCCAUAAAUUUUUUAAUUAAAUUAAUUUGAAGGGGUAGUUGAUAAAGUAGUGUUUAAACAACACUUACCUUCAAAAAACUGUCGUAGUCGUGGUGUAUUGUAUUUUAUUUUUAAUUUUUUAAUUGGCCAUAAAUUUUUUAAUUAAAUUAAUUUGAAGGGGUAGUUGAUAAAGUAGUGUUUAAACAACACUUACCUUCAAAAAACUGUCGUAGUCGUGGUGUAUUGUAUUUUAUUUUUAAUUUUUUAAUUGGCCAUAAAUUUUUUAAUUAAAUUAAUUUGAAGGGGUAGUUGAUAAAGUAGUGUUUAAACAACACUUACCUUCAAAAAACUGUCGUAGUCGUGGUGUAUUGUAUUUUAUUUUUAAUUUUUUAAUUGGCCAUAAAUUUUUUAAUUAAAUUAAUUUGAAGGGGUAGUUGAUAAAGUAGUGUUUAAACAACACUUACCUUCAAAAAACUGUCGUAGUCGUGGUGUAUUGUAUUUUAUUUUUAAUUUUUUAAUUGGCCAUAAAUUUUUUAAUUAAAUUAAUUUGAAGGGGUAGUUGAUAAAGUAGUGUUUAAACAACACUUACCUUCAAAAAACUGUCGUAGUCGUGGUGUAUUGUAUUUUAUUUUUAAUUUUUUAAUUGGCCAUAAAUUUUUUAAUUAAAUUAAUUUGAAGGGGUAGUUGAUAAAGUAGUGUUUAAACAACACUUACCUUCAAAAAACUGUCGUAGUCGUGGUGUAUUGUAUUUUAUUUUUAAUUUUUUAAUUGGCCAUAAAUUUUUUAAUUAAAUUAAUUUGAAGGGGUAGUUGAUAAAGUAGUGUUUAAACAACACUUACCUUCAAAAAACUGUCGUAGUCGUGGUGUAUUGUAUUUUAUUUUUAAUUUUUUAAUUGGCCAUAAAUUUUUUAAUUAAAUUAAUUUGAAGGGGUAGUUGAUAAAGUAGUGUUUAAACAACACUUACCUUCAAAAAACUGUCGUAGUCGUGGUGUAUUGUAUUUUAUUUUUAAUUUUUUAAUUGGCCAUAAAUUUUUUAAUUAAAUUAAUUUGAAGGGGUAGUUGAUAAAGUAGUGUUUAAACAACACUUACCUUCAAAAAACUGUCGUAGUCGUGGUGUAUUGUAUUUUAUUUUUAAUUUUUUAAUUGGCCAUAAAUUUUUUAAUUAAAUUAAUUUGAAGGGGUAGUUGAUAAAGUAGUGUUUAAACAACACUUACCUUCAAAAAACUGUCGUAGUCGUGGUGUAUUGUAUUUUAUUUUUAAUUUUUUAAUUGGCCAUAAAUUUUUUAAUUAAAUUAAUUUGAAGGGGUAGUUGAUAAAGUAGUGUUUAAACAACACUUACCUUCAAAAAACUGUCGUAGUCGUGGUGUAUUGUAUUUUAUUUUUAAUUUUUUAAUUGGCCAUAAAUUUUUUAAUUAAAUUAAUUUGAAGGGGUAGUUGAUAAAGUAGUGUUUAAACAACACUUACCUUCAAAAAACUGUCGUAGUCGUGGUGUAUUGUAUUUUAUUUUUAAUUUUUUAAUUGGCCAUAAAUUUUUUAAUUAAAUUAAUUUGAAGGGGUAGUUGAUAAAGUAGUGUUUAAACAACACUUACCUUCAAAAAACUGUCGUAGUCGUGGUGUAUUGUAUUUUAUUUUUAAUUUUUUAAUUGGCCAUAAAUUUUUUAAUUAAAUUAAUUUGAAGGGGUAGUUGAUAAAGUAGUGUUUAAACAACACUUACCUUCAAAAAACUGUCGUAGUCGUGGUGUAUUGUAUUUUAUUUUUAAUUUUUUAAUUGGCCAUAAAUUUUUUAAUUAAAUUAAUUUGAAGGGGUAGUUGAUAAAGUAGUGUUUAAACAACACUUACCUUCAAAAAACUGUCGUAGUCGUGGUGUAUUGUAUUUUAUUUUUAAUUUUUUAAUUGGCCAUAAAUUUUUUAAUUAAAUUAAUUUGAAGGGGUAGUUGAUAAAGUAGUGUUUAAACAACACUUACCUUCAAAAAACUGUCGUAGUCGUGGUGUAUUGUAUUUUAUUUUUAAUUUUUUAAUUGGCCAUAAAUUUUUUAAUUAAAUUAAUUUGAAGGGGUAGUUGAUAAAGUAGUGUUUAAACAACACUUACCUUCAAAAAACUGUCGUAGUCGUGGUGUAUUGUAUUUUAUUUUUAAUUUUUUAAUUGGCCAUAAAUUUUUUAAUUAAAUUAAUUUGAAGGGGUAGUUGAUAAAGUAGUGUUUAAACAACACUUACCUUCAAAAAACUGUCGUAGUCGUGGUGUAUUGUAUUUUAUUUUUAAUUUUUUAAUUGGCCAUAAAUUUUUUAAUUAAAUUAAUUUGAAGGGGUAGUUGAUAAAGUAGUGUUUAAACAACACUUACCUUCAAAAAACUGUCGUAGUCGUGGUGUAUUGUAUUUUAUUUUUAAUUUUUUAAUUGGCCAUAAAUUUUUUAAUUAAAUUAAUUUGAAGGGGUAGUUGAUAAAGUAGUGUUUAAACAACACUUACCUUCAAAAAACUGUCGUAGUCGUGGUGUAUUGUAUUUUAUUUUUAAUUUUUUAAUUGGCCAUAAAUUUUUUAAUUAAAUUAAUUUGAAGGGGUAGUUGAUAAAGUAGUGUUUAAACAACACUUACCUUCAAAAAACUGUCGUAGUCGUGGUGUAUUGUAUUUUAUUUUUAAUUUUUUAAUUGGCCAUAAAUUUUUUAAUUAAAUUAAUUUGAAGGGGUAGUUGAUAAAGUAGUGUUUAAACAACACUUACCUUCAAAAAACUGUCGUAGUCGUGGUGUAUUGUAUUUUAUUUUUAAUUUUUUAAUUGGCCAUAAAUUUUUUAAUUAAAUUAAUUUGAAGGGGUAGUUGAUAAAGUAGUGUUUAAACAACACUUACCUUCAAAAAACUGUCGUAGUCGUGGUGUAUUGUAUUUUAUUUUUAAUUUUUUAAUUGGCCAUAAAUUUUUUAAUUAAAUUAAUUUGAAGGGGUAGUUGAUAAAGUAGUGUUUAAACAACACUUACCUUCAAAAAACUGUCGUAGUCGUGGUGUAUUGUAUUUUAUUUUUAAUUUUUUAAUUGGCCAUAAAUUUUUUAAUUAAAUUAAUUUGAAGGGGUAGUUGAUAAAGUAGUGUUUAAACAACACUUACCUUCAAAAAACUGUCGUAGUCGUGGUGUAUUGUAUUUUAUUUUUAAUUUUUUAAUUGGCCAUAAAUUUUUUAAUUAAAUUAAUUUGAAGGGGUAGUUGAUAAAGUAGUGUUUAAACAACACUUACCUUCAAAAAACUGUCGUAGUCGUGGUGUAUUGUAUUUUAUUUUUAAUUUUUUAAUUGGCCAUAAAUUUUUUAAUUAAAUUAAUUUGAAGGGGUAGUUGAUAAAGUAGUGUUUAAACAACACUUACCUUCAAAAAACUGUCGUAGUCGUGGUGUAUUGUAUUUUAUUUUUAAUUUUUUAAUUGGCCAUAAAUUUUUUAAUUAAAUUAAUUUGAAGGGGUAGUUGAUAAAGUAGUGUUUAAACAACACUUACCUUCAAAAAACUGUCGUAGUCGUGGUGUAUUGUAUUUUAUUUUUAAUUUUUUAAUUGGCCAUAAAUUUUUUAAUUAAAUUAAUUUGAAGGGGUAGUUGAUAAAGUAGUGUUUAAACAACACUUACCUUCAAAAAACUGUCGUAGUCGUGGUGUAUUGUAUUUUAUUUUUAAUUUUUUAAUUGGCCAUAAAUUUUUUAAUUAAAUUAAUUUGAAGGGGUAGUUGAUAAAGUAGUGUUUAAACAACACUUACCUUCAAAAAACUGUCGUAGUCGUGGUGUAUUGUAUUUUAUUUUUAAUUUUUUAAUUGGCCAUAAAUUUUUUAAUUAAAUUAAUUUGAAGGGGUAGUUGAUAAAGUAGUGUUUAAACAACACUUACCUUCAAAAAACUGUCGUAGUCGUGGUGUAUUGUAUUUUAUUUUUAAUUUUUUAAUUGGCCAUAAAUUUUUUAAUUAAAUUAAUUUGAAGGGGUAGUUGAUAAAGUAGUGUUUAAACAACACUUACCUUCAAAAAACUGUCGUAGUCGUGGUGUAUUGUAUUUUAUUUUUAAUUUUUUAAUUGGCCAUAAAUUUUUUAAUUAAAUUAAUUUGAAGGGGUAGUUGAUAAAGUAGUGUUUAAACAACACUUACCUUCAAAAAACUGUCGUAGUCGUGGUGUAUUGUAUUUUAUUUUUAAUUUUUUAAUUGGCCAUAAAUUUUUUAAUUAAAUUAAUUUGAAGGGGUAGUUGAUAAAGUAGUGUUUAAACAACACUUACCUUCAAAAAACUGUCGUAGUCGUGGUGUAUUGUAUUUUAUUUUUAAUUUUUUAAUUGGCCAUAAAUUUUUUAAUUAAAUUAAUUUGAAGGGGUAGUUGAUAAAGUAGUGUUUAAACAACACUUACCUUCAAAAAACUGUCGUAGUCGUGGUGUAUUGUAUUUUAUUUUUAAUUUUUUAAUUGGCCAUAAAUUUUUUAAUUAAAUUAAUUUGAAGGGGUAGUUGAUAAAGUAGUGUUUAAACAACACUUACCUUCAAAAAACUGUCGUAGUCGUGGUGUAUUGUAUUUUAUUUUUAAUUUUUUAAUUGGCCAUAAAUUUUUUAAUUAAAUUAAUUUGAAGGGGUAGUUGAUAAAGUAGUGUUUAAACAACACUUACCUUCAAAAAACUGUCGUAGUCGUGGUGUAUUGUAUUUUAUUUUUAAUUUUUUAAUUGGCCAUAAAUUUUUUAAUUAAAUUAAUUUGAAGGGGUAGUUGAUAAAGUAGUGUUUAAACAACACUUACCUUCAAAAAACUGUCGUAGUCGUGGUGUAUUGUAUUUUAUUUUUAAUUUUUUAAUUGGCCAUAAAUUUUUUAAUUAAAUUAAUUUGAAGGGGUAGUUGAUAAAGUAGUGUUUAAACAACACUUACCUUCAAAAAACUGUCGUAGUCGUGGUGUAUUGUAUUUUAUUUUUAAUUUUUUAAUUGGCCAUAAAUUUUUUAAUUAAAUUAAUUUGAAGGGGUAGUUGAUAAAGUAGUGUUUAAACAACACUUACCUUCAAAAAACUGUCGUAGUCGUGGUGUAUUGUAUUUUAUUUUUAAUUUUUUAAUUGGCCAUAAAUUUUUUAAUUAAAUUAAUUUGAAGGGGUAGUUGAUAAAGUAGUGUUUAAACAACACUUACCUUCAAAAAACUGUCGUAGUCGUGGUGUAUUGUAUUUUAUUUUUAAUUUUUUAAUUGGCCAUAAAUUUUUUAAUUAAAUUAAUUUGAAGGGGUAGUUGAUAAAGUAGUGUUUAAACAACACUUACCUUCAAAAAACUGUCGUAGUCGUGGUGUAUUGUAUUUUAUUUUUAAUUUUUUAAUUGGCCAUAAAUUUUUUAAUUAAAUUAAUUUGAAGGGGUAGUUGAUAAAGUAGUGUUUAAACAACACUUACCUUCAAAAAACUGUCGUAGUCGUGGUGUAUUGUAUUUUAUUUUUAAUUUUUUAAUUGGCCAUAAAUUUUUUAAUUAAAUUAAUUUGAAGGGGUAGUUGAUAAAGUAGUGUUUAAACAACACUUACCUUCAAAAAACUGUCGUAGUCGUGGUGUAUUGUAUUUUAUUUUUAAUUUUUUAAUUGGCCAUAAAUUUUUUAAUUAAAUUAAUUUGAAGGGGUAGUUGAUAAAGUAGUGUUUAAACAACACUUACCUUCAAAAAACUGUCGUAGUCGUGGUGUAUUGUAUUUUAUUUUUAAUUUUUUAAUUGGCCAUAAAUUUUUUAAUUAAAUUAAUUUGAAGGGGUAGUUGAUAAAGUAGUGUUUAAACAACACUUACCUUCAAAAAACUGUCGUAGUCGUGGUGUAUUGUAUUUUAUUUUUAAUUUUUUAAUUGGCCAUAAAUUUUUUAAUUAAAUUAAUUUGAAGGGGUAGUUGAUAAAGUAGUGUUUAAACAACACUUACCUUCAAAAAACUGUCGUAGUCGUGGUGUAUUGUAUUUUAUUUUUAAUUUUUUAAUUGGCCAUAAAUUUUUUAAUUAAAUUAAUUUGAAGGGGUAGUUGAUAAAGUAGUGUUUAAACAACACUUACCUUCAAAAAACUGUCGUAGUCGUGGUGUAUUGUAUUUUAUUUUUAAUUUUUUAAUUGGCCAUAAAUUUUUUAAUUAAAUUAAUUUGAAGGGGUAGUUGAUAAAGUAGUGUUUAAACAACACUUACCUUCAAAAAACUGUCGUAGUCGUGGUGUAUUGUAUUUUAUUUUUAAUUUUUUAAUUGGCCAUAAAUUUUUUAAUUAAAUUAAUUUGAAGGGGUAGUUGAUAAAGUAGUGUUUAAACAACACUUACCUUCAAAAAACUGUCGUAGUCGUGGUGUAUUGUAUUUUAUUUUUAAUUUUUUAAUUGGCCAUAAAUUUUUUAAUUAAAUUAAUUUGAAGGGGUAGUUGAUAAAGUAGUGUUUAAACAACACUUACCUUCAAAAAACUGUCGUAGUCGUGGUGUAUUGUAUUUUAUUUUUAAUUUUUUAAUUGGCCAUAAAUUUUUUAAUUAAAUUAAUUUGAAGGGGUAGUUGAUAAAGUAGUGUUUAAACAACACUUACCUUCAAAAAACUGUCGUAGUCGUGGUGUAUUGUAUUUUAUUUUUAAUUUUUUAAUUGGCCAUAAAUUUUUUAAUUAAAUUAAUUUGAAGGGGUAGUUGAUAAAGUAGUGUUUAAACAACACUUACCUUCAAAAAACUGUCGUAGUCGUGGUGUAUUGUAUUUUAUUUUUAAUUUUUUAAUUGGCCAUAAAUUUUUUAAUUAAAUUAAUUUGAAGGGGUAGUUGAUAAAGUAGUGUUUAAACAACACUUACCUUCAAAAAACUGUCGUAGUCGUGGUGUAUUGUAUUUUAUUUUUAAUUUUUUAAUUGGCCAUAAAUUUUUUAAUUAAAUUAAUUUGAAGGGGUAGUUGAUAAAGUAGUGUUUAAACAACACUUACCUUCAAAAAACUGUCGUAGUCGUGGUGUAUUGUAUUUUAUUUUUAAUUUUUUAAUUGGCCAUAAAUUUUUUAAUUAAAUUAAUUUGAAGGGGUAGUUGAUAAAGUAGUGUUUAAACAACACUUACCUUCAAAAAACUGUCGUAGUCGUGGUGUAUUGUAUUUUAUUUUUAAUUUUUUAAUUGGCCAUAAAUUUUUUAAUUAAAUUAAUUUGAAGGGGUAGUUGAUAAAGUAGUGUUUAAACAACACUUACCUUCAAAAAACUGUCGUAGUCGUGGUGUAUUGUAUUUUAUUUUUAAUUUUUUAAUUGGCCAUAAAUUUUUUAAUUAAAUUAAUUUGAAGGGGUAGUUGAUAAAGUAGUGUUUAAACAACACUUACCUUCAAAAAACUGUCGUAGUCGUGGUGUAUUGUAUUUUAUUUUUAAUUUUUUAAUUGGCCAUAAAUUUUUUAAUUAAAUUAAUUUGAAGGGGUAGUUGAUAAAGUAGUGUUUAAACAACACUUACCUUCAAAAAACUGUCGUAGUCGUGGUGUAUUGUAUUUUAUUUUUAAUUUUUUAAUUGGCCAUAAAUUUUUUAAUUAAAUUAAUUUGAAGGGGUAGUUGAUAAAGUAGUGUUUAAACAACACUUACCUUCAAAAAACUGUCGUAGUCGUGGUGUAUUGUAUUUUAUUUUUAAUUUUUUAAUUGGCCAUAAAUUUUUUAAUUAAAUUAAUUUGAAGGGGUAGUUGAUAAAGUAGUGUUUAAACAACACUUACCUUCAAAAAACUGUCGUAGUCGUGGUGUAUUGUAUUUUAUUUUUAAUUUUUUAAUUGGCCAUAAAUUUUUUAAUUAAAUUAAUUUGAAGGGGUAGUUGAUAAAGUAGUGUUUAAACAACACUUACCUUCAAAAAACUGUCGUAGUCGUGGUGUAUUGUAUUUUAUUUUUAAUUUUUUAAUUGGCCAUAAAUUUUUUAAUUAAAUUAAUUUGAAGGGGUAGUUGAUAAAGUAGUGUUUAAACAACACUUACCUUCAAAAAACUGUCGUAGUCGUGGUGUAUUGUAUUUUAUUUUUAAUUUUUUAAUUGGCCAUAAAUUUUUUAAUUAAAUUAAUUUGAAGGGGUAGUUGAUAAAGUAGUGUUUAAACAACACUUACCUUCAAAAAACUGUCGUAGUCGUGGUGUAUUGUAUUUUAUUUUUAAUUUUUUAAUUGGCCAUAAAUUUUUUAAUUAAAUUAAUUUGAAGGGGUAGUUGAUAAAGUAGUGUUUAAACAACACUUACCUUCAAAAAACUGUCGUAGUCGUGGUGUAUUGUAUUUUAUUUUUAAUUUUUUAAUUGGCCAUAAAUUUUUUAAUUAAAUUAAUUUGAAGGGGUAGUUGAUAAAGUAGUGUUUAAACAACACUUACCUUCAAAAAACUGUCGUAGUCGUGGUGUAUUGUAUUUUAUUUUUAAUUUUUUAAUUGGCCAUAAAUUUUUUAAUUAAAUUAAUUUGAAGGGGUAGUUGAUAAAGUAGUGUUUAAACAACACUUACCUUCAAAAAACUGUCGUAGUCGUGGUGUAUUGUAUUUUAUUUUUAAUUUUUUAAUUGGCCAUAAAUUUUUUAAUUAAAUUAAUUUGAAGGGGUAGUUGAUAAAGUAGUGUUUAAACAACACUUACCUUCAAAAAACUGUCAAGUAGUCGUGGUGUAUUGUAUUUUAUUUUUAAUUUUUUAAUUGACCAUAAAUUUUUUAAUUAAAUUAAUUUGAAGCGGUAGAUAAAGUAGUGUUUAAACAACACUUACCUUCAAAAAACUGUCAAGUAAUCGUGGUGUAUUGUAUUUUAUUUUUAAUUUUUUAAUUGGCCAUAAAUUUUUUAAUUAAAUUAAUUUGAAGCGGUAGUUGAUAAAGUAGUGUUUAAAAAACACUUACCUUCAAAAAAACUGUCAAGUAGUCGUGGUGUAUAGUAUUUUAUUUUUAAUUAUUUAAUUGGCCAUAAAUCUGCACGAUGAAGUAUUAUUUCUAUUAAUAGAAACUUCAUAUAUUCCUAAGACUCUAUUUGGCUGACACGUGGCAAACUUGCCAAAUUAUCAUCUUUGCUUUAUUAUAAUGUAUAGAUUUGAACAGUUAUUUUUUUCCCAACUUUGAACGUGUUUUUACUCUUAUUACUUCUAGCACACUUCAUUUUACAUCUAAUUGUCUUUAUAUUUCUUUGACAGACACGUCUUUUACAGGAUAUAUAUGGACAACAAAAAUGCCAUUGCACAAUAAAUUAUAAUGUGUUGUAAUAAGAUAAUAUGAUCAUGUAAAGUCAUAAGUAAAUAAAUAAAGAUAAUAUGAUUAUCUAAACUAAUAAUUUAUUCUAGUUUUAUAUUUAACAUGAUCGUUUAGUAAAAAAAAUAUUUAAUACGAUUGAUAGUGAUGUGUGAUAUAGUAAACAAAUAAAU